rnacentral:lncRNA from 1 species
CUAGCUUGAAUAUUGUUCCAUCCCUGCGAGAUGAUUUCAGAAAAUCUACAUCUUGCGAGGAUGGUUUUGGAAAUGAGAAAAAUAAUGUACACCUCUGUAAUUCUCCAAAGAUUGUCCAGGACAAAAUACAGAAUCGGUCUCCAUUACUAAUGAGAUCCAACAAAGGUGCCACUAAUUUUGAGACAGAUCCAUGGGGAAAGGAUAAGUACCAUGUUUCUCAGAUCAGUCAGGUAAGAGAAUCGGGAAAUGCAGAAGUUCUUGGAAGGCAGCAACGUGAUUCCAUUCACCAUGAAAUCAACAAGAAAUUAGAAGAGCUUGAAUUCCUGCAAUCAAACAAGGAUUUUAGAGCACUCAAACAGAUACUGGAUGCUAUUGAGAAAAAGAAAAAGUCAGAAACCAUUCAAUCCAAAGAACAACAAAAGUUCGUAGAAAUUUUACAAAAUACAAGAACUGAUGAAUCCCCUCCAAUUGUGAUAAUGAAACCUACAAAUAUCAUCAGAAAAUGCACUUCUCCUCCAACAGCAAUCGUUCCAAUGGAAGGUCUAGCCGGGCUUCGAAAACUUCGAACUAGUAAUAUAAAAGAUAACCAACCAGUUUACCAUAGUCCAUGUCAACUUUCCGUCAAUGAAAGAACUCCUAAGGGCAGUCCCAAAUCCAAUGCAUCCCCUAACCACCUUCAAACUUCUAGAAAUAAUAAAUCUAAUAUCACAGGCAAUGAAAGUAGUCCUCAUGGUCAUUGGGUAAGGAAACUACAAGGCUCCUCUAGCCCAAAGCCACCACCAUCAAACAUGACCAAUGGUAGCCCUUUAAGAACUUCAAGUUCUUCAAGCCCACAUCCGCAACAGAGAAAACAUGAGCUUAAGAAGAAAUCUCAUGUGAUCAGUCCUUCAGAUACAAGCAAACAUCAAAAGCAAGCCAGGCAGCAUACAAAAUCUCACAGUCCCAGAGGGAAUCUUAGAAUUAAGCCAAAACUGUCACAUUAUGAUCAAGAUCAAAUUUCUAGUAGCACAAUACCCCGAUUAGAUGUAGAAGUAAGCAUAAGCUCCGAUAAACUUACUAAACAGAAACUAAACUCAUCUGGAAAGGGAAGCUUUAAUGGCGUGACUUCUAUCGUAGAAUCGAAGGUAAAAUUUAAAUGGAAGUUUGGAUUACAUGUACCUUAAUAGAAAUAAGUCAAUAACGUGAUUUAAUUUUCAUUUAUUUUUGCACUUGAACUUUCAUUUCAGAAGUCAUUGGUGAAUUUAAGGGAAAGUUCUUCUGCAAAGCUCGAAGCAACCAGUGGCUCUGAACAACCAAGUCCCAUAUCUGUCCUUGAUGCCUCAGUUUACAAGAAUGAUUUACCACAUUCACCAGUAGGUGAAAUAUUGUAUUCAUUCAAAGGUGAUAUAUACUCUGAUUUAAUAAUCUUAUUCUCAGUUUCUAAUAACCUCACUAAAAGAAUUAGAUGAAAUGUAUACAUUAAGAACACUAGAUUUUUUCUGAAUGAUUUUGUUUUUCUUUAAGCAAAACAGAUAACGAGACAACAUCUGGGAACAGAAACCAAACAUUCCUCAACAUACAACUUAUCAAUCCAGAAAUGGCUAGAAACUACAGAAAUUUUAAAAACAACAUUGUCUUGGUUCAAAAAUCUGGUCGUAUCAGCUUAACAGAAAAAGAUUCAGGAAACACCAGUCACUUUAACAAGCUAUGUGCAAGUAGUCAUGAUCCAAAUUAUCCUUACAUAUCAGAGAUAUUGCAUGCUACUGAUUUUCAAUUUGAAGAUUACAGACUCACGUCAGAGCAUGCGAUCAACCCAAACUUAUUUCUGUUGCUUGAGAAAAAGAGAGCAAAGUUUGCAAACACUAAAUUCGAGUCCCGUGAGAAUAUUCCUACGGCAAAGACUGAUCAAGAGAAGCUUCAAAGGAAGCUCAUGUUCGACACAGUUGACGAGAUUCUAGUUCAUAAACUGAGAUUUGGGAAAUUAAGUCAUCAUCAUACCAGAAUUCAAACACCAAGUGAUAGUGAUCUACUGCAUGAUUUAUGUUUAGAAAUUAACCAGCUGCAAGCUGAUGCCACACUGAUUAGUACUUCCAAUAAUGACGACAAUAAUGGUUUGAAGCUUGUUUUGAACCAAGACGUGAUAAAUCGGUCUCAAGAAUGGAGUGUAUCAGGAAGUGAGGUUUCUGGGCUGGUACUUAACAUUGAAAAAUCUAUAUUCAAAGACCUCAUUGAAGAGGUGAUUGGCAAUGUACCGAAAGUGUGUGUUCAAGCAAAAUUAAGCCAUCGCCGAAAACUUUUUGCUAAUUGAUCAAACUAAGAAAAAUUAUGAAUUGUUGCUUUGGUUUGCCAUUAUGAUCCAAACAUAAUCCAAAUUUCAUAGUUUAUUUUAAAGUAAAUUUUACAAAAGUAAAACAAGAACAUUGUAUGUAAAUUUCAUACAAUUUACAUCUUAUUGCUCCAUUUACAGAACCCCCAUUUACAGAACAAGAUAAUGGAAGAACCUCCAUUUACAAAACAUUUACAGAAAUUGAUGAUCUUAUUGCUGAGAAGGGCAUUUACAGAACAUUUACAGAAACAUUACAGAAAUACCACUUUCUAAGUAAAAUUGAUUGGAAACAUUUCUAAGUAUUUACAAAAACAUUUACAGAAAUUGAUUGGAAGAACCUUCUUAUUGCUAAAAAGAAUAUGAUAAUGACCUAGAGCACAUAAAUAGUUCUCAAGGAUUACCUUCAUAUUCACUUUUACUAAAUCUACUAAACUCAAUCAAUGAAAGAUUAGAUCUUCCAAGAACUGGAUUUCUGUAAAGAUUUUAAUUUCUGUAAAUCUACUCUACUAGACUCACUUUUACAACCGAUUUUAAUUUCUGUAAAGAUUUUAAAAAAUUUAAUUUCACAAGAAAUGGAAAACAGUGAAAUAUUUGAGAUUUUAAUUUCAUAAGAUCCAUAGAGAUUUUAAUUUCAAAUAGUUUAAACAGUGAAAUGGAAAAUCCAAAUCGAUAUCGAUUAAACAAUGAAAAAAAUCGAGAACCCAAAGAUGGGUUGUGGAGUCUUACCUUGGAGUUCACCGGAACCCAAACUGUAUAUAAACCUCAAAGACAACUGUAAAUUCUCACGUGAAAAACAGAGAAAGUGAUCCGAGAGGUUAGCGAGAACGCGUAAGGGAUUGGAAUCUGUAUAUAAAAGGUAGGACUUGAUGGCAAAGGGGUAUUCUUGUAAUAAGAGAAACAUUGAUGGCUUUUUUAGUUUUUUUCUAAUCCAAGUUCU